rnacentral:tRNA from 1 species
AGGUAAAAGGGGAAACCAGACCUACAAUACGUUAUUUGUCUUUAUCGAUUUGAAAAUCCUCGUGUCGGGGGUUCGAUUCCCUCCCUAGGCACCA